rnacentral:rRNA from 1 species
GAAUCGCAUGGCCUUGCGCCGGCGAUGGUUCAUUCAAAUUUCUUCCCUAUCAACUUUCGAUGUUUGGGUAUUGGCCAAACAUGGUCGCAACGGGUAACGGAGGGUUAGGGCUCGACCCCGGAGAAGGAGCCUGAGAAACGGCUACUACAUCCAAGGAAGGCAGCAGGCGCGCAAAUUACCCAAUCCCGACUCGGGGAGGUAGUGACAAUAAAUACUGAUACGAGGCUCUUUUGGGCCUUGUAAUUGGAAUGAGUACAAUUUAAAUCUCUUAACGAGGAACAAUUGGAGGGCAAGUCUGGUGCCAGCAGCCGCGGUAAUUCCAGCUCCAAUAGCGUAUAUUAAAGUUGUUGUGGUUAAAAAGCUCGUAGUUGAACCUUGGGCCUGGCUGGCCGGUCCGCCUCACCGCGUGUACUGGUCCGGCCGGGCCUUUCCCUCUGUGGAACCUCAUGCCCUUCACUGGGUGUGACGGGGAAGCAGGACUUUUACUGUGAAAAAAUUAGAGUGCUCCAAGCAGGCCUAUGCUCGAAUACAUUAGCAUGGAAUAAUAAAAUAGGACGUGCGGUUCUACUUUGUUGGUUUCUAGGACCGCCGUAAUGAUUAAUAGGGACAGUCGGGGGCAUCAGUAUUCAAUUGUCAGAGGUGAAAUUCUUGGAUUUAUUGAAGACUAACUACUGCGAAAGCAUUUGCCAAGGAUGUUUUCAUUAAUCAGGAACGAAAGUUAGGGGAUCGAAGACGAUCAGAUACCGUCGUAGUCUUAACCAUAAACUAUGCCGACUAGGGAUCGGACGAUGUUAUUUUUGACUCGUUCGGCACCUUACGAGAAAUCAAAGUGUUUGGGCUCCAGGGGGAGUAUGGUCGCAAGGCUGAAACUUAAAGAAAUUGACGGAAGGCA